rnacentral:rRNA from 1 species
CCCACUAAGCUUCAGCUUAAGAAAAACCGUACCGCAAACCGACACAGGUAGGCAGGGUGAGAAUCCCAAGGCGCUUGAGAGAACUCGGGUGAAGGAACUAGGCAAAAUGGCACCGUAACUUCGGGAGAAGGUGCGCCCUUUGGUGUGGUCACGUGCGUGACUGAGCAUCGAAGGGUCGCAGUAACCUGGCCGCUGCGACUGUUUAUCAAAAACACAGCACUCUGCAAACACGAAAGUGGACGUAUAGGGUGUGACGCCUGCCCGGUGCUGGAAGGUUAAUUGAUGGGGUCAGCCGCAAGGCGAAGCUCUUGAUCGAAGCCCCAGUAAACGGCGGCCGUAACGAUAACGGUCCUAAGGUAGCGAAAUUCCUUGUCGGGUAAGUUCCGACCUGCACGAAUGGCGUAACGACAGCGGCGCUGUCUCCACCCGAGACUCAGUGAAAUUGAAAUCGCUGUGAAGAUGCAGCGUUCCCGCGGCAAGACGGAAAGACCCCGUGAACCUUUACUAUAGCUUUACACUGAACGUUGAGUUCUUCUGUGUAGGAUAGGUGGGAGGCUAUGAAACCAGGACGCUAGUUCUGGUGGAGCCAUCCUUGAAAUACCACCCUGAAGUGCUUGACGUUCUAACCUAGGCCCGUAAUCCGGGUCAGGGACCGUGUAUGGUGGGUAGUUUGACUGGGGCGGUCUCCUCCCAAAGAGUAACGGAGGAGCACGAAGGUACGCUCAGCGCGGUCGGACAUCGCGCACUGUGUGCAAAGGCAUAAGCGUGCUUGACUGCGAGAUCGACGGAUCAAGCAGGUACGAAAGUAGGUCUUAGUGAUCCGGUGGUUCUGUAUGGAAGGGCCAUCGCUCAACGGAUAAAAGGUACUCCGGGGAUAACAGGCUGAUACCGCCCAAGAGUUCAUAUCGACGGCGGUGUUUGGCACCUCGAUGUCGGCUCAUCACAUCCUGGGGCUGUAGCCGGUCCCAAGGGUAUGGCUGUUCGCCAUUUAAAGUGGUACGCGAGCUGGGUUCAGAACGUCGUGAGACAGUUCGGUCCCUAUCUGUCGUGGGCGUUGGAGAUUUGAGGGGGGCUGCUCCUAGUACGAGAGGACCGGAGUGGACGUUCCGCUGGUGUUCGGGUUGUCAUGCCCAUGGCAUUGCCCGGUAGCUACGAACGGAAGUGAUAACCGCUGAAAGCAUCUAAGCGGGAAGCACGCCCCAAGAUGAGAUCUCCCGAGAGCUUGACUCUCCUAAAGGCACCAUCAAGACUAGGUGGUUGAUAGGUCAGGUGUGGAAGCGCAGCAAUGCGUUGAGCUAACUGAUACUAAUGAGCCGUGAGGCUUGACCC